CUGACGAGCGGCGAACGGGUGAGUAACGCUUCGGAAUCUACCCAUGGGUGGGGGAAUAACCAGCCGAAAGGUUGGCUAAUACCGCAUACGUCCUACGGGGAAAGCAGGGGAUCGCAAGACCUUGCGCCGAUGGAUGAGCCGAAGCCGGAUUAGCUAGUUGGUAGGGUAACGGCCUACCAAGGCGACGAUCCGCAGCUGGUCUGAGAGGACGACCAGCCACACUGGGACUGAGACACGGCCCAGACUCCUACGGGAGGCAGCAGUU
rnacentral:rRNA from 1 species